rnacentral:rRNA from 1 species
GAUGAACGCUAGCGACAGGCUUAACACAUGCAAGUCGAGGGGCAGCGGGGUUUUAGCUUGCUAAAACUGCCGGCGACCGGCGCACGGGUGAGUAACACGUAUGCAACCUGCCCAUUGCAGGGGGAUAAGCGGAAGAAAUUCCGUCUAAUACCGCGUAAUAUCCUUUGGAGGCAUCUUCAUAGGAUUAAAGAAAUUCGGCAAUGGAUGGGCAUGCGGCGCAUUAGCUAGUUGGCGGGGUAACGGCCCACCAAGGCGACGAUGCGUAGGGGUUCUGAGAGGAAGGUCCCCCACACUGGUACUGAGACACGGACCAG